rnacentral:rRNA from 1 species
GAUGAACGCUAGCGGCAGGCUUAAUACAUGCAAGUCGAGGGGCAGCACAGGUAGCAAUACUGGGUGGCGACCGGCAAACGGGUGCGGAACACGUACGCAACCUUCCCAUAACUGGUGAAUAGCCUUCCGAAAGGGAGAUUAAUACACCGUAACAUAAUGAAGUGGCAUCACUUUAUUAUUAUAGCUUCGGCGGUUUUGGAUGGGCGUGCGGCUGAUUAGGUAGUUGGCGGGGUAACGGCCCACCAAGCCUCCGAUCAGUAACUGGUGUGAGAGCACGACCAGUCACACGGGCACUGAGACACGGGCCCGACUCCUACGGGUGGCAG